AUACUUACCUGGGCGCGGGGAUACCGUGAUCAAGAAGGCGGUGCCUCCAGGACGAGGCCUGUACAUUGCACUCCGUAUGGGGCUGACUCCUGCGACUACCCAAAAUCGGGGUGGCUCGAGCGCAUAAUUUUUGGUAGUGGGGACAAGCGUUCGCGCUGUCCCUU
rnacentral:snRNA from 1 species